rnacentral:hammerhead_ribozyme from 1 species
AUCCACCUGGCGAGUCUCGAAUAGGACGAAACGCGCGUCCUGGAU